GGAGUAUGAAAAUUGAUUUGGUUUGGUGAUGCGCCUCUAUUUGGCCCAUCUGGUUAGGUAUGGACGUACUGUGUGCAUGGUAGCCCACUGCUGGAAGGCACCAAACCUGGUAUCUGAAUUCUGAAACAAGGCCUGGAGGACGGCCUGCUGGAGAUGUUGUGCCGUUCUCCAGGCCGAGAUGUUGUGCCUGUAUGUGAAAUUGUUCUUUGAGUCCAUAUUUGGAUAGAUUGAUCAUUGUUUACUUCAGAUUU
rnacentral:lncRNA from 1 species